rnacentral:rRNA from 1 species
AGUGAACGCUGGCGGUAGGCCUAACACAUGCAAGUCGAACGGCAGCACAGUAAGAGCUUGCUCUUACGGGUGGCGAGUGGCGGACGGGUGAGGAAUACAUCGGAAUCUACUUUUUCGUGGGGGAUAACGUAGGGAAACUUACGCUAAUACCGCAUACGACCUACGGGUGAAAGCAGGGGAUCUUUGGACCUUGCGCGAUUGAAUGAGCCGAUGUCGGAUUAGCUAGUUUGCGGGGUAAAGGCCCACCAAGGCGACGAUCCGUAGCUGGUCUGAGAGGAUGAUCAGCCACACUGGAACUGAGACACGGUCCAGACUCCUACGGGAGGCAGCAGUGGGGAAUAUUGGACAAUGGGCGCAAGCCUGAUCCAGCCAUACCGCGUGGGUGAAGAAGGCCUUCGGGUUGUAAAGCCCUUUUGUUGGGAAAGAAAAGCAGCAGGUUAAUACCCCGCUGUUCUGACGGUACCCAAAGAAUAAGCACCGGCUAACUUCGUG